GUUCAAGGCCAGAGAUGAGGUUGCAGCAGGAUUAGAAUCCUUGAUCCCAAUCAUCACCGCUAACAAAAAUGUUAAUUGGAUCAAUUAUAUUUACUAUAAUCCGCAACGCUUUGUCAAUUACACGAGAGAUGCCCUCUAGGGCUUGGCAGAACAGUUACAGACUACCUCCCAAAUGACAUUUCAGAAUCGAAUGGCCUUAGACAUGAUACUAGUAGAGAAGGGGGGCGUGUGUUAAAUACUUCCCGAUACUAUGACAUGCUGUACCUUCAU